AAUAUUGGACAAUGGGGGCAACCCUGAUCCAGCCAUGCCGCGUGUGUGAAGAGGCUCUUCGUAUUGUAGAGCUCUAUAAGUUGGGGGGAGGGGCUUUCGGUAUACACUCAAGAGUUUAGACUUUCAUAACAGUAUACGCCGCCGCUAACUAUGCGACCAGAGCCGCGGUAAUACAGAGGGUGCAAGCGUUAAUCGGAAUUACUGGGCGUAAAGCGCGCGUAGGUGGUUCAGUAAGAUGGGUGUGAAAUCCCCGGGCUUAACCUGGGAACUGCUUUCAUAACUGCUGAGCUAGAGUACGGUAGAGGGUAGUGGAAUUUCCUGUGUAGCGGUGAAAUGCGUAGAUAUAGGAAGGAACACCAGUGGCGAAGGCGACUACCUGGACUGAUACUGACACUGAGGUGCGAAAGCGUGGGGAGCAAAC
rnacentral:rRNA from 1 species